rnacentral:rRNA from 1 species
CGGACGGGUGAGUAACACGUGGAUAACCUACCUAUAAGACUGGGAUAACUUCGGGAAACCGGAGCUAAUACCGGAUAACAUAUUGAACCGCAUGGUUCAAUAGUGAAAGACGGUUUUGCUGUCACUUAUAGAUGGAUCCGCGCCGCAUUAGCUAGUUGGUAAGGUAACGGCUUACCAAGGCGACGAUGCGUAGCCGACCUGAGAGGGUGAUCGGCCACACUGGAACUGAGACACGGUCCAG